CCCUGAAAUAAGUUGAUGGCAGUUAUGGCAUGGGCUGAUCUACCCAGUCAGCAAGGCCAGAUUGCAGAGAAACUCAGAGUCUAGGAAAAUGAAUGUCUAGGAACAUUCCUCAAAUAGUCCUACCAGAAGACACAAAGAUGAUGCAUCCGGAUGAAGAAUAUAUCACUGAGAUUAAUGGCCCUGGGUUGCAGCCAAAAGCAUCUCAGAGGUAGAACACUGUUGCAGAUGGUGAUGUUACCAUUUGAAAGUAAGAAGAAAACUAGUAUCUCUUUACACCAAGAGUAAAAAUAGAGAAGAUGCUUACAAACUGCAACACAUAGAGUUUCUUGAAAUCACAGUUUGGGAGUGGAGGAAAAGGCUGCUUAAGUGUUUGGAAAGGGAGAGUAAGGAUGAAAUAGAGUGGGGGUAUGAUGCAUUUCCUGACUGUGGUCGGCUUUCCAUGGGUGAAACAGAAAAGUCUUCAAAUAUCCUCACCAACUGCUUUCCUAGAUUUUUCAGCCAGUUACUUGACCAUAUUAGGAAAAGAAAGUAAUUGAUUCUGAGAGAAAUUUCUCCAAGGAUUCCUGCAGUUCUCCUUUGAACAUACGAAGAGGGAACAUUCUUUCAGUCCUAGAAGUUGCUGAAGCAGAGAUGGAGAACCCCAGACUGGAGGGCUUUGAUUUCACCCUGCACAUCUAAGGGCAUAAAUUGGUUCCAGGUCAGGAUCAUAUGAGCAUAAGUCUGAGUUGGGUGUCUCUGAUCAUUCCAGAAUUCCAUUGGAAGGCAGACUUAUAUUCCUGAGAAGCAGGAAUGAGAAGCACAGUGGAAUUUUGCAAAGGAAACAGAACUUGAACUCAGCAGUCGUAGGUGCCAGUCCUUGACUAGCUAUAAUAUUGGGCAAGUCAUAUAAAUUCUCCAGGCACAGUGUCCCUUUUGGCAAACAACAGACAGAAUAUAAAUAUGUGUUGCCAGGUCAGUGGACAUUUCAAGGACAGUUUGAUUUUAAUGUGAAGUCAUCUAAUUUUAAAUGCUCUAUUAAAUUUUAUUUUUUUUAGUUGUAUAAGCUUAAGAACAGGUAUCAGACAAGACUUCUU
rnacentral:lncRNA from 1 species